GGAACCCUGUGACACCUGUACCUGGUGAGUAUCCUGGGUUCAGGAGCAGAGAUCCCUGGGAUGGGGCUGUACCAGACAAGAGGGCAAGAGGGGCAGGACUCAAGGCUAGAGUCAGACUAGGACAUGGAUUGAACAAGCUCCUGAAGGCCACCCAGCAUGUCCUGCCAGCAAAGCCAGCAGCAGUGCCAGCCCCCUCCCAAGUGCUCCCCCAAGUGCCCUCCCAAGUGUCAGACACCCAAGUGUCCACCAAAGUGUCCCCCCAAGUGUCCCCCUGUGUCCUCCUCCUGCUGCAGCUCUGGGGGUGGGGGCUGCUGCAGCUCUGGGGGUGGGGGCUGCUGCCUGAGCCACCACAGGCCCCGCAGGUCCCACCGCCACAGGCAGAGCUCUGGCUGCUGCAGCAAUUCCUCAGGGGGCUCCAGCAGCUGUGGAGGGGGUUCCAGCAGCUGUGGAGGAGGCUCCAGCUGCUGUGGAGGGGGGAGUGGAGGGGGGAGCACCCAGUCCUCUGGAGGCUGCUGCUAAUGGCAUUCCCAGCCAAGAAGAAGGACUUAGAGGCACACAAAGAGCACCUACAUCUUUCUGCACCUGCCUCUGCCUCUGAGAUACUUCAGUGGAUCCAGAUCCUGUGUUGGAGACUUUGCCAUCUGGAAUCCUCUUCCCAUGUCUUGCCUGGUCUCCUGCCUGAGCUGGGCAUCCCUGGAGACAAGCUCCCCUACCCUGAAAUGAAUCAAUAAAACUGUGUGUGCCCCCUA